CUAUGUCAGUUUUCCAUGAGAAUCCUCUGCCUGUACAAUAAUAAGUCUACAUGUAAACAAACCCAAAGUUGUGGACUGGAGCUUGGGGUCUCAUUUUUCAGUGUGUAGGUUUCUAGUCCCUACCCCUUUCAGUUCAGCCUCCUCACCUUUCUGCUGUCCUGAGUGUGAAGGAUAGCAGAUGUCUAUCCUUCACAUUGAAUCCUCUGAUUCAGUGUCUCCAGAGAAUAAACCUCCCAUCUCUGUUGAGGUAAGGGUGGGCCGCACAGGCUCUAACUGAUUCUCAAACCAACUUUAAACCAGACCUUCUGUUUUCAGCCCUAUCUGCACAACUACCUUCAGAGGCAUCUUGCAUUUUUAAUUUCUGACACUUUUGGAGUUCCUCAAUGCAAGUGGAAGUUGCUUUUUUUGGCUCUCCCCUGAACUUGUAGAGUACAUAGUUUUCAUCUUUAUUCAGUCUUCUAAGUGAAUUUUCUCAUGUCCAUAUUCUCUCUAAUUUUUCCCAAUUUUCUUGCCAUCUCUGGUCAGCUGUUAUCUUCUCUUUUUUUUCUUUUACAGUUUGUAUUUUUUUAAUCUAUGCAUUAUCAUUUUAGAGAAAUAAGGAGAAGCAAAGAUAAGCAUAUACAUUUAAUCCACUGCACUUAACUAGGAGUUUGUAUUUAAUAAUCCACUUUAAUCAGAUGUCUACCUAACAUUUUAUUGAAUCUUUUCUGCCUCCUUGCUUUUCAGGUUUUUUUUUUUUCUAUUCUUGUAUCUACCAUGUAGGCUUGCCUAUUAUCUUCAUUUAGCAUCCUCAGGCAAAGCUAUUUUUUAUCAUUGCCCUUCCAUUGCACUGUGUACAAUGCUGCUCUUGCUGCCUUGAGUACAUAUUGAUGUAGUACAAAUAUGUGGAUGGAUGGCUGUCUUCUGUUUCUCUGGGUGGGGAAUUUUUCUACACCCAGGGUCCAACAUGGGGCCCGCUACUGACUCAUGUUCCUUAAACUUUAUUGAAUGAAAAAAAAAUGCCUCAGAAAAUUUAAUGGGAAACUCAAUGCAAAGACCUGAAUGUCCAUGGGCCAGUCAAGCUAUAUUCAGUAUCAGGAUUUAGAAGCUUCAGAGAUCAUCUAUUUAAACUACUUUGUUUUACAAAUGAGAAAACUAAAGCCUAAAUGAGGAAAAUAAAACUUAUUAUAUGGUAUAUAGCAGGGACUUUAAUUCACAUUUUCUAAGAUCCUCACCCACAGAUAUUUCUUCCACAAUCUAUUUCUUUAAGCAAUGACAUUUUGAUAACCAGAAGUCAGCAUAUUAAUGGCUCUAUUGUAAACAAUACAUUUUGUUUUUGUUACUGAAUCUAAUUACGUUUGUGAAACAUGAUACAGAUAGCUGUGUACAAAACAAACUGAGGUUAGGAAACUUCAGCAAACCAGAUAAAAGGCUGAUGUUGGAAACCAUGUGAAAUGAUAAAGAUCUGAACUAAGAUGGCAUAUGGAGAAAAAUAUUGAUGGGAUAUAUCAAAAAGCAGAAGAGAGAGAUGCAUUAAAUAAUAGGCAGGAUAAGGAGGAUGUUUGUACCAUUUUCAACAAUAGGCUUUUAUGGCCAAUUUGCAUAAUGCUGUGAUUGAUUCCCAAGCUUUUUUUGAUAAAAGCUUCUUUAUAUUUGUUUCGCAAGGUGUCAGAGCCCCGGCAAUGGAAGGUGGUAGGCUCGGAGGUAGAAAGAAGAAUUUACCCACAGCAGUAUAGGUUUGAAAGGGAAAGUUUUAUUAGAUAGAAAGAACACUGCAGCAGAGUGCAGUGGGGCACUUCAGCAAGAGAGGACUGAGCACACCACGAUGUAUUUUUCCUUAGGGGCAUUUAUGGACCUUGAAGAGGGAGCUUAAGGGUAAUUUGGGCCAUAUUACCCACCUAGGCCAUAAUAAAUAAUUACAUUUGUAGACAUUUUGGUGCCUUGAUGUCAGCAAGGGUUGCACAACGAGUUUCGACAUGUGUGCAUUCCAGAGAUGUAUAGAAAUUUUUGUUACUUAUAAAUUUUUGGGAAAGAAGUCAGAGCAAGUGAUGGCUCUCUAGUGAGUGACUUUGAUAAAAGCCUGUCUAGUCAAACCCCAGAAGAAACUGAACAUUGGUGGAUGAUGGAUUUGGGUUCCAAAUGGACUAUGAAUGUUGUGUCAGUCACCAACUGAAGAGAAUGUAUUCAUGGACAAAUAAAGACACUUGCGAUUUUAAUUGGGUACUCACUUGCUCAGAGUGGCAAGACAAAUUCCAGGUGGCUGUCAUCUCAUUGUGCUCACAUAACCUUCUUAGUGCAUGCAUGAGCAGGAGAAAAAGAGAAAGCAAGCUCUCCGGUGUCUCCUCUUACAAAGGCCCUAAUCCCAUUAUGAAAGUCCCACCCUUAUGAUCUCAUCUAACCCUAAUUACCUCCCAAAGGCCUCAUCUUCACAUAUCAUCACAUUGGAGAAAGGGGCUUCAACAUAUUAAUUUAGGGAGACACAAACAUUCAGUUCAUAACACGUCUAGUGUGUUGAAGAAAUAUCCAGAAGGCCAGUGAAGCUAAAGCAGACUUGGUGAAGGAAACAAUGGUAGGACAUGAGAUCAGAGGGUCUGUUAGCUUGAAAUAUUGGGAACUACUGGAAAAGCAUUACCCUUAUUGUAAAUGAGAUGGGAGCCACUGAAGGGUUUUGAACUAAGAGGUAAUAUAAUCUGAAUUAUGAUUUAAAAGGGGCAUUUUAUCUGUUGUAAGGAGCAUAACCUAUAGGGUGCAAGAAUGCAAGAGAUGAUGGUCAUUUGAACCAGAGUGGUAGCAAUAGCAAUGGUGAGAAGCAGUUGGAUUCUGGAUGUAUUUUGAAGGUAAAGCCAACCUAUUGGAAAUUAGAGAGGGAUUAGAUGUACAGUAUAAAAGAGAAAGAAGAGUUAACUGUAGCUUGAGAAACUAGAGUUGUGAAGGGAUGUACUUGUCAUUAUUGAUGUGGGGAAGACUAGGGGAGGAGCAGGAUUAAGAAGGGGGCAGAGAAAAACAGGAGUGUGGUUUUGGACAUGUUAAACUGAAAAUUUGUAUUAGACAUCCAGGUGGAAAUGUCAGGUAGGCAGUUGUACAUAAAAUUCUUGAGGUUAGGGGAAAGGUCAAAGCUGGAAAUAUAUAUAUAUAUAUAUCAGUGUCACCAGCAUAUAGAUCGUAUUUGAGGCUUUGAGCUCUACGAGAUCAUCAAGGAAGUGAGCAUACCUAAAAAAUAGAAGACGGCUAGGUAUGAGCUGACAGGUG
rnacentral:lncRNA from 1 species